UACAGAGGGUGCGAGCGUUGUCCGGAAUCACUGGGCGUAAAGAGCGCGCAGGCGGUCGUUCAAGUCGGGUGUGAAAGCCCCCGGCUCAACUGGGGAGGGUCACUCGAUACUGAUCGACUCGAAGGCAGGAGAGGGAAGCGGAAUUCCCGGUGUAGUGGUGAAAUGCGUAGAUAUCGGGAGGAACACCAGUGGCGAAAGCGGCGCACUGGACCAUAACUGACGCUGAUGCGUGAAAGCUAGGGGAGCAAACAGG
rnacentral:rRNA from 1 species